CUGAACUUUUUACCUCCACUAGAGGGCGACAUCAUCCAGUAGGCGGUGCACUACUUCUGCUCUGUGUUCAACCAUUCUGUCAAUAAUAACUGCUGCUGUGAAGAGAACAACUCUCACACUGAAUGUUGAACAGCAGCUAGUUUCUCCUGUUCAUUUAAACCUUGUUGCAGAGAUGGAACAUCGGCUGUGGAUUAUUCUUGCUGCUCUGUUCUGUGAGUGUAAAGGAGCAGACAGAGUGAUCCAGCCAACAGGAGAUGUCAUUGCUGCUGAAGGAGACACAGUUACACUGGACUGCACAUUUGAGACCAGCGACACAGGUCCAACUUUGUUCUGGUACAAACAGGACGGAAACAACAGCCCAAAAUUCAUGCUGAACCGUCCUAAGUUUGGUACAGGGCACACAGAGAAGGAAUAUGAGGACAGAUUUUCAUCCACACUGGAUUCUACCUCAAACUCAGUUCCUCUGAAGAUCCAGAAGCUUCAGCUGUCUGACUCUGCUGUGUACUACUGUGCUCUGCAGCCCACAGUGACAGGAAACACCAAAACUCUGUACAAAAACCUUUGGAGCAAAGACAACACAAUACUCCACAACAUCCACUAGAGGGAGUCACACACCAUGAACCCAUUACAGUCUGAGCCAGUGUCACUGGACUGAUGACAAAUACAACAAAACAUCAACCAAUAAAGAUUCCACACAGAGCUGCUGUGACAACAGACAGAAAUGGAUUGGUUGAGUUGAAGUGAAUAAAUAAUGUGAAGAGCUGAUUGGCCCCGCCCAUUUAGCCUCAACUCAACCAAUGACAUCAUUCCUUCCUCACUGUGCUGCAGUGGAAGAACACUGCUCAUCUGCUGUCUGUCUGGCUUUAAGAA